GACGAACGCUGGCGGCGUGCUUAACACAUGCAAGUCGAACGAAGAGCGACGGAAGCUUGCUUCUAUCAAUCUUAGUGGCGAACGGGUGAGUAACGCGUAAUCAACCUGCCCUUCAGAGGGGGACAACAGUUGGAAACGACUGCUAAUACCGCAUACGAUCUAACCUCGGCAUCGAGGAUAGAUGAAAGGUGGCCUCUACAUGUAAGCUAUCACUGAAGGAGGGGAUUGCGUCUGAUUAGCUAGUUGGAGGGGUAACGGCCCACCAAGGCGAUGAUCAGUAGCCGGUCUGAGAGGAUGAACGGCCACAUUGGGACUGAGACACGGCCCAGACUCCUACGGGAGGCAGCAGUGGGGAAUCUUCCGCAAUGGACGAAAGUCUGACGGAGCAACGCCGCGUGAGUGAUGACGGCCUUCGGGUUGUAAAGCUCUGUUAAUCGUGACGAAAGGCCUUCUUGCGAAUAGUGAGAAGGAUUGACGGUACCGGAAUAGAAAGCCACGGCUAACUACGUG
rnacentral:rRNA from 1 species